GACGAACGCUGGCGGCGUGCUUAACAAAUGCAAGUCGAACGGAAAGGCCCUGCUUUUGUGGGGUGCUCGAGUGGCGAACGGGUGAGUAACACGUGAGUAACCUGCCCUUGACUUUGGGAUAACUUCAGGAAACUGGGGCUAAUACCGGAUAGGAGCUCCUGCUGCAUGGUGGGGGUUGGAAAGUUUCGGCGGUUGGGGAUGGACUCGCGGCUUAUCAGCUUGUUGGUGGGGUAGUGGCUUACCAAGGCUUUGACGGGUAGCCGGCCUGAGAGGGUGACCGGCCACAUGGGGACUGAGAUACGGCCAAGACUCCUACGGGAGGCAGCAGUGGGGAAUAUUGCACAAGGGGCGGAAGCCUGAUGCAGCAACGCCGCGUGCGGGAUGACGGCCUUCGAGUUGUAAGCCGCUUUCGCCUGUGGCGAAGCGUGAGUGACGGUAAUGGGUAAAGAAGCACCGGCUAACUACGUG
rnacentral:rRNA from 1 species